rnacentral:miRNA from 13 species
AACUGGCCUUCAAAGUCCCAGU